GAUGAACGCUGGCGGCGUGCCUAAUACAUGCAAGUCGAGCGAACGGACGAGAAGCUUGCUUCUCUGAUGUUAGCGGCGGACGGGUGAGUAACACGUGGAUAACCUACCUAUAAGACUGGGAUAACUUCGGGAAACCGGAGCUAAUACCGGAUAAUAUUUUGAACCGCAUGGUUCAAAAGUGAAAGACGGUCUUGCUGUCACUUAUAGAUGGAUCCGCGCUGCAUUAGCUAGUUGGUAAGGUAACGGCUUACCAAGGCAACGAUGCAUAGCCGACCUGAGAGGGUGAGCGGCCACACUGGAACUGAGACAGGGGCCAGACGCCUACGGGAGGCAGCAGUAGGGAAUAGUCCGCAAUGGGCGAAAGCCUGAAGGAGCAAUGAAGCGUGAGUGAAGAAGGUGUUCGGAUCGUAAAACUCUGUUAUGAGGGAAGAACAAAGGUGGAAGUAACGAUGCACGUCUUGACGGUACCUAAUCAGAAAGCCACGGCUAACUACGUG
rnacentral:rRNA from 1 species